GCCUGUACCAAGGAGGAAUACAAAAGCAAAGUGUGAACAGUAUUCGUUACCUGGAAAGUAAUGUACAUGUUACAACAGUGGACUGCAGAAGAUAACUUCUCAGUCAGUCUAUCUAUAUGGGCACCAUCGAAUAUCCACAGUGCAGAAAACAGGCCAGAGACAAAAUAACAAUGCUCUGAAAUUUCUCCAAGAAGGAAAAAUAUAUAUAUCCACAACAAAACAAAAACCUUAUCAGGUCUCCAACUUUCUGAAGUGUUGACACUUUCAGUGGCCCGAUAUUCCGU